rnacentral:lncRNA from 1 species
UGGGUUAAGGAUCCAGCGUUGCCAUGAACUGUGGUGUAUGUUGCAGAUGUGCCUCAGAUCCUGCGCUGCUUUGGCUCUGGCAUAGGCCAGCGGCUACAACUCCGAUUCAACGCCUAGCCUGGGAACCACCAUAUGCCUCAGGUUCAGCGCUAAAAAGACCAAAAAAAAAAAAAAAAUACAAAAGAAAAAAAAUAUAGCCAGAUUCUGGAAUCUAUCUGUAGAUUUCCUGUGUUCUCCGUCUUAUGAGGGGCCAUACAACAUACCUUUCCCCCAGCGGCAAUAAUGUGGUUACACGUGUAUAUCCAGGGAAGCCCAUUAGAGAUUCAGUGCUCAAGGUCUUUUUCACUGGGGUCGCUCACAGAAGCACCCUCUGCCUAACAACUGUCAAAAUGCCAGGCUCCCAGAAGAAAAGCAAGUAUUUACCAUAAAGCACAUUGUGUGUACAAGUCCAGCCACAGUGAGUAUUGGAGAGAACAUUCUGAAAUUCAAGAAAUCCCAAAUGCCAGUCAAAUACCAACCUGGCAAGCAGGUUCUUUUAAAAAUAGUAGGCACAGGCCUGCUAUGUUAACUCUUUUCUGCACAGUCUCUUUAGUAAGAUGAUCUGCUAAAGCAUUUUCUUAAUUCUUUAUUUGUUUUACUGUUGGUUUCUAUCUUUAUAAUAAUUUCUUUGAGCAGCAUCAAAGCAUCAAAUAAUAAUUACCAUAAAACACAUUAUCUGUCUUUUAGUUUUACCUAUUUGAAAUCUCUAGAAAAGGCCAAUGUUUAAUCACUUGAACCAAUCUAGUAUCUGUUAAAGAAUUGGAUAGCCUAGUAUAGUUCCUUUUCAUUGUAACGCAAGACCCAUCAACAAAUAACAUUAAGUCAGAAUUUGGCACUGAAAUGUCCAAAAGACCUAUUCAUAACAGAGACACUUCUUGAAUUAUAAAUAUGUAAUUACUGAAUUUAUAAUUACAGAAAUAUAAUUCUCCUUCAUCAAGUAAAGGUAAUAGUAUCACUGGAUUGAUACUGUUAUACCAAUGGAUAGUAAUCAAUGGAAGGAAUAAAUGAAAUUUUAUAAUUAAUCAACUAGUCCAAAAAUAUUGGAUAUUUUCAGUUAGCAAUAGAGACUGUAACUGCAUGUGAUACCAUCAUAUUUUAAAAUGAUCUGAAUAUGAAAUCUGAAGAUGCUUUUGACUGAUCUUAGAAACUGCAAUUGCUCUGAAGCAAGAAGGAUAUAGCCAAGGCUAUUUUAUUAAAGGAUAAGCUAUAAUAAGCAAUGAGUCUUUUCUCUGUGCUAUUGAUGUACUGUGUUAACAUUCCUGAAGCAUGGCCUGACAUUUUAUGUACUGAUGAAAAGAAAUAUAUACAACAAUGUAGAAAGAAUCAAUCUGAACUCUUAUGGAAUCUGAUACAAUUAUUCUGCCUACAUCAGUGGAAUCUUUCAUCUUCAGGGAUUCUGGGACCAUGGCUAAUUCUUUGCUUAUUCCUUGAAUCAUAAAUAGUGUAGUCUUAUUAACAUAUAGGUCAGAAGUAGAUUCUUAUCUAUUAAGUUUGUAGAGGUUGUAUCAUGGAGAAGAAAAGAAUACUUUUCCAAUGUUAGUCCCAGAGAAACAGAUUGAGGCUUAGAAAAAGGACUGCGUAUUGUUGGAAAUUCCCACUACUUUGGUGGUUUAGUAAAUAAAGGCUUGUUUCCCCUCAAGCAUUUUUCAAUUUACUAUGCACCCUGAGUUUGCCUAUUGCUAUCUUUUGUCACAUUCUGGCACAAUAAGACAUUAUUAUUUUAAGACAAAACUACUCCUUCUCUUGCUAUUUCUCAGAAGUAUGUGUGCCAUUCACUCAUUCACUCACUCAGUCUCUUUCCUUUGCAUUUACAACCUGUCAAUGUGCCUGUGGUCUUGUUUUUCAGACUUUAAACAUUUACUCUAAGGGAUUUAUAGUAGUAGGAUUAAUUACAGAUACAGUGGCACUUGUAACAAGAAAACAAUGUUAUCCAUCUGUAUUCGGUCUGCUUGGGGUAUGAAGAAGUAGUAUAGGGAGUUGUCAGAUGACUAUAUCUCAUUUGGAGCAGUUAUCACUGACAAGAUUUUGGAUUGUUGUCCUCUUAUCCAAUAUGGUUAAACACUGGUUCUUUAAAUGGACCUUCUGCUUGUAACCUCUGAAAUUACAAAGGAAUAGCCAUGUGAAAUAGCGACUUCUCAUUCCAGACAUAUGGAAAGGGGAGAGAAAAAGGAAAAAGUGAGAGCCCAGUAGAGCACAAACAAGUAUGUAGCACCCAUAUACACCGCUCGUGUACCUUCUACGAGUACUUCUGUUUCUAGCAACAUAGUGGGCUAGGUGCCUGGAUGUUGGAAACAACUAAUAAUGCAGAUAAAAUAUAAUUUUAAAAGAAUCCUUAAAUGUUUCCAUGAACUUGUAAACUAGAAGGAAUAAUUCAUACAAAAAGCCUGUGACUCAAAGGAGUAAGAAGAGCCGUAAAGCCACAUUUAUUUUUUUUGUAAUAACAGCUUUUUAAAAUUCAAAUUCAUUAUGACUUUAAGGAAAUAUGUGAUUAGGCAUCCAAGCUCUUUCUAAACUACAACAUUUUAAAAAAUUAUUCCUUUCAAGGUAUAGUUCAAAGUUACAUACACUGUAGUUUUCUUUUUUUAUAUGUUGAGUUUCUUUGUUAAAUACAUGGUCUUCAAGGCCUAUAGAUCCCUGUUUUCUUCUUUUAUUAUAUAGUUUAAAAAUUUGCAAAACAUAGGCCAUCAUUUAUGCAUUUGUAUAUCUGUGCUCUCCUUUCUCUUUGAGUUUUUUCUUUAUUUUUUGUUUCAUUUUUUAAAAUUCUAUGGAAGUAUAGUUGAUUUACAAGUCUGUGAUAAUUUCUACCAAGCCACAAAGUGUUUCAGUUAUAUAUAUACACGCAUCCAUUCUCUUUCAGAUUCUUUUUCCACAUAAAUUAUUACAGAGUAUUGGGUAUAUUUCUACAAGCUAUAUAGCAGGUCCCCAUUGGCCAUUUCACUCUAUAAGCAUUUGCUGAACUAAAUGAAUCUGAGCAUAGUUUUCACCAUCUGCCAACUCAGUGCAGAGGAAGUAAAGCUCAGAGCCCACCCAAAGCAGGGAGUAUAAGAGGAGACUUCCCCUAAAGCUAAGACUCUAAAAGCUACAUAUACAGCAUAAGAGUGAGUUAGAACUACUUCCCUGGACUGUGAGGAAAACUGCCUAACUCAAUUUAUAAACACAAAAUGACCUUCACACAGGCUUACCAAAUUCACACUAACUUAGGCUAAGAAUUUAGUUCAAAGUAAACCCAAAUGACUGAUGCACUCAGGCACCUGCCAUAAGAAAAUUCAGAUACUCAUCUGCAAUAUUCCUAUCCUGAAGGAUACUCGAUCUCCUUCUCAAAACAAAGAAUUUCACAUAGAAAGCAGCUCAUGGCUAAAAUUACUAAACAUGUAAGAAAACAUGGUAUGAUGAGUAAGAGUCACUGUGAACAGCAUAUGGCAGAAUAAGAUCAGCAGAAAUUUUAGAUUUUGGAAUUAUUAGACAAAAAAUGAUCAAUAAGCAUGCUAAAUAUAGUCUAAUAAUUAAAACAGAUUUAAAUAUAUGUGAGUAAAGAGCAAGCAGAUUUGAUAAAGAGCCAAAUAGAUCUUCAAGAAAUGAAAAUAGUAGAAAUUUAAAACAUUUGAUGGAUUUAAGAGUAACUGAUAAAGAGCUGAAGAAAGAACUAAGGAACUUAGGAAAUUACAAGAUAUGUUGCACAGAAAGACAAAGAAAUGGGAACUAUGAAAGAGAGAUUAGAGACAUAAGAGAAUAAUAAGAAAAUUAGCAUAUAUUUAAUUGCAAUGCCAAAAAGAAAAGAGAGAGAAUGAGACAAGCAAUAUUUGAAGAAAACUUUCCAGAACAGAUAAAUGAUGCCAACUAUAAGAAGCCAAAUGAAUCCCAAGCAGAAUAAAUAAAAAGAAAUCCUGGUGGCUCUGUAGGUUAAGGAUCCAGCUUUGUCACUGCUGUGGCUCAGGUUGCUAAUAUGGCUUGGGUUCGAAACGGGUGCUUGGAACAGAUGCAGAAAAAAAAAAAAAAAACCUAUCAGGAUAAAUAUUUAAAUUUCUAUUUAGCGAAAAAUGGAACCAGUGUUUGGCAUUUAUUUAUUUGUUUGUUUACAUAAUCAUAAAUUUUAAUUCUUUGUUGUUGUACAAUACAUGAUUAUUUAAGUGCCCACAAAAUUAUCAUAAUGGUGCAUAUAAGUGAAAAUGUUACUAGUUAGAAGCAUUUGUUGUAAUAACUCACCAAUUUUGUGUUCUCAAAUUCUUUUUCAUGACCAUUUCUGUCUUUUUUAGGAAAGCAGAUAGAUGUCAGUGACAUAAAGAAUGCUCUGAAAGACAUGAAAGUAGAAGUCACAGAUGAGGAAUACUUGAAUUUAAUAAAAACUCUACCAGUUAAUGGUAAAGAUUUUAGAAUAUAUAUGUAUGCUUCAAGGGGCUUUAGAGUACUUCACCGUGAAGUUUUCUUCUAAAAUGAUACCAGAUUGGUAUCAGGUUGUUCUUUUUUAUUUUUUAAAUCAUUUUAGAAAACUUUUAGUACUAGGCUUUUGCCAAAGAAAAUCUGGGUCAUUUAAUUUUUCUUAUGGUAGGCAAUGGCUAUUUCACUCAUUCCUACCAAAACGAUAUAUGUAUUGCUGUCCUUGAUUCCACUAAUAUCCCUGAGAGUAAGUGAAAGGGUGUAGAAAUGGAAGAGUAAAGGGUGCGAGGAAAAACAUCAAAGGUAAAAGUAAAUCAAAUGGAAUAUGUAAGUUUUAAACCAAUAAUCAUUGUCUUUUAUGCAACAGUAGACAUAUUUUCCUCAUUAAAAGUUUUUCUCCAAAUGAAUUUUGUUACUGUUUGAGAGAAAAUAGGUAAAUUUCAGGAAAAUAAUUAUUAAAAAGUCUCUUUUUGAAUUGUAGAAUUUUUUUUUAUUUUUAGAUGAAUCUUCUUUAAAAUUUUUCUCUGACCUGAAUUAUGCUUUUUCUUAUAGCUGAAGGAAAAGUGUUUCAAAAAAGGUUGCUGGAUGGUGUCAAGAAUCUUAAAAGUGAGUGAGAAGUAUGAUAAGUAAUCACAUAAAUCCAAGAUAUUCUCCUGUUUUUCAUAUACGCUCAUUUAUUUUUAUUACAUGUAAAAAUUCCAUAUGGGAGUUCCUAUAAUGGCUCAGUUCCUAUAAUGGUUAACAAACCCAACUAGUAUCCAUGAGGACAAGGGUUCAAUCCCUGGCCUGGCUCAGUGAGUCGGGGAUCCCACACUGCUGUGGCUGUGGUGUAGGCCGGCAGCUGUAGCUCCGAUUCAACCCCUACCUAGCCUGGCAACCUCCAUGUGCUGUGGGUGUGGCCC